CCUACGGGUGGCAGCAGUGGGGGAUAUUGCACAAUGGGGGAAACCCUGAUGCAGCGACGCCGCGUGUGGGAAGACGGUCCUCUGGAUUGUAAACCACUGUCCCCAGGGACGAAGAUGACGUUACCUGGGGAGGACGCUCCGGCUAACUACGUGCCAGCAGCCGCGGUAAUACGUAGGGAGCAAGCGUUGUCCGGAAUUACUGGGUGUAAAGGGAGCGUAGGCGGGAUGGCAAGUUGGGUGUUAAAUCUACCGGCUCAACUGGUAGUCGCACUCAAAACUGCUAUUCUUGAGGGAAGUAGAGGCGGGGGGAAUGCCGAGGGGAGGGGUGAAUGCGGUGGAUAUUAGGAGGA
rnacentral:rRNA from 1 species